AUAAAAGAAACAAAUGAAUCGAUGCUAAUAUGAUGGGUUUCUGUUUAUUGUUGUAGGGUGAGCACGGUGAGAGUGGAUUUGAUGGCACUGAUGGAGAGCAGGGAGAACGUGGAUCUCCUGGAUUUCCUGGAGAGAAAGGCAGCCCUGGAAAACGGGUAAAGUAUCCUUUAUAAGAAUGAGAUUUUAUGAA
rnacentral:lncRNA from 1 species